UGCCCAGACUCCUACGGGAGGCAGCAGUGAGGAAUAUUGGUCAAUGGCCGGAAGGCUGAACCAGCCAAGCCGCGUGAAGGACGAAGGUGCCAAGCAUUGUAAACUUCUUUUGUCAAGGGACAAAAUCAGGCUCGAGAGCCUGACCGAGGGUACUUGAAGAAAAAGCAUCGGCUAACUCCGUGCCAGCAGCCGCGGUAAUACGGGGGAUGCAAGCGUUAUCCGGAUUUAUUGGGUUUAAAGGGUGCGUAGGCUGUGAGGUAAGUCAGCGGUGAAAUGCCCCCGCUCAACGGGGUGAAGUGCCAUUGAUACUGCCUUGCUGGAAUGCGGAUGCCGUGGGAGGAAUGUGUGGUGUAGCGGUGAAAUGCAUAGAUAUCACACAGAACACCGAUUGCGAAGGCAGCAUACCGGCGCCCAACUGACGCUGAAGCACGAAAGCGUGGGUAUCGAACAGGAUUAGAUACCCGAGUA
rnacentral:rRNA from 1 species